rnacentral:tRNA from 1 species
GAGGGUGUAGCUCAGUGGUAGAGCGCGCGCUUAGCAUGCAUGAGGUCCUGGGUUCCAUCCCCAGUGUCUCCA